UCUGCAGUCUUCUUUCGUGAGUCUUUAUGAGAUGUGAUUAAAAAACGUAACUGCUGCCACUGAGCGCCAUCCAGCGGAGAGGCGGCUUGUAAAAACACGAGACUACGUCCGCAUCCUCCUUGUCACCCGCUCUGACACUGUGAGACUUCUGGAUCUUCCUAAAGUCAGGAUGACCAGGACAGUACCGGGGAUGGAACUCAGGACUUUUCACUUGUGAGGGAUUGAACUUGGGACCUUGUGCUUGCAAGGCAGGAGCUGGAACCACUGAGCUAAAUCCCCGGCUUCACUGAGAUUUUAAAAAAGGAAAGGAAAGGGGAAAGAGAGCC
rnacentral:lncRNA from 1 species